AAGUCGGUGUGCCAACCGUAAGAGGCAGCCGCCCAAGGAGUGGUCGGUGACUGGGGUG
rnacentral:rRNA from 1 species